UUGUUGCAGUUAAAAAGCUCGUAGUUGGACCUUGGGCAGGAGGCACGGGUUGGCCGAAUGGCUCGACUCGGGUCUCCGGCCUCUAUGGGUGAUCGUGCCUUUGGUACGGUUCGCCCGGGUUACUGUGAAGAAAUUAGAGUGUUUAAAGCAGGCGAUUGCUUGGAUACAUCAGCAUGGAAUAACAAGAUAGGACCUGGUUCCACUUGUUGGUUUGGGGGCUUUGGUAAUGAUUAAUAGGGCCAGUUGGGGGCAUUAGUAUUCAGUAGUCAGAGGUGAAAUUCUUGGAUUUACUGAAGACUAACUAGUGCGAAAGCAUUUGCCAAGGAUGUUUUCAUUAAUCAAGAACGAAAGUUAGGGGAUCGAAGACGAUCAGAUACCGUCGUAGUCUUAACUAUAAACGAUGCCGACUCGGGAUCGGCAGACGUCGUUAGCGACACUGUCGGCACCGUGUGAGAAAUCAAAGUUUUUGGGUUCUGGGGGGAGUAUGGUCGCAAGGCUGAAACUUAAAGGAAUUGACGGAAGGGCACCACCAGGAGUGGAGCCUGCGGCUUAAUUUGACUCAACACGGGAAAACUCACCAGGUCCGGACAUAGUAAGGAUUGACAGAUUGAGAGCUCUUUCUUGAUUCUGUG
rnacentral:rRNA from 1 species